rnacentral:rRNA from 1 species
CGCGUAGGCGGAUUUUUAAGUUGGGGGUGAAAUGCCGAGGCUCAACCUCGGAACUGCCUUCAAAACUGGGAGUCUUGAGGUAUGGAGAGGGAAGUGGAAUUCCAGGUGUAGCGGUGAAAUGCGUAGAUAUCUGGAGGAACACCCGUGGCGAAGGCGGCUUCCUGGCCAUAUCCUGACGCUGAGGUGCGAAAGCUAGGGGAGCGAACGG